CAGGGUGUUGGCUCUCCAAACCUGAGCACAGCUGGAGCCUGCAAUUGCUUUUCAUGCCCUAGGGAUGUUGUUGCUAAGUAGUGCAGGUAGCAGAAGCAGCUGCUGCAAAGGAAGAGGGAGUUGUGCAUAGCAUUAGCCACAGUGCUCAGGCAGGGAAUUUAACCACUACAGCCUAUGGUUCCAAAAGAGAGCAUUGGAAAUUGGAGCCCAAAGGUUUUGUGGCUCCUGCAAUACUUUACAGAGGCACACAGAGAACAACCUUUGGACCAUGGAUGCAAACCAGUUCAAAAGGCUGAGCUCUCUAGGUCAAGCUCUGAAGUUUGGCAAGCAUCCUAGCCUAAAGGGGGAAGGGAAGGGAUUUGUGGGACUCACCUUCCAAGAUGUAGACCUUGAAUCCGCUGCUGAUGCCUGUGGUGUAGUGAAGAUCAGCCAAGGCCAUCUUUGCUAGGAGCUCCACACAGGUGGUGCUUGUUGGAAGAAGAUUCAAUUUGCUGCAGAAUGUAGGAUCACCCUCAAUCUAAACAGUUAAUCUUUUUUAGGAUGUAGGACCUUAUAGAUUUCUUCCUACUCCAGCAAAGGGUGGGUCUGUAUGUAUUCCCUUUUUUCCCUAGGACAGAAGAGGACCACCAGUUCUCUGGACCCAACAGGCUGUCCUUUGAAAAGUGCAACUCCACUGCACCACACGCAGCAUCCCUUCUUGAACUUUUGGAUUUCUACCUUGGAGGGUGGAGCUAGAGUUGGCCAGUUCCAACAGGCCUGACACUCUCCUCUUCCCUCUCUUGUUAGCCCCCUCAGGGCAAUGCACACACCCUUGUGGGGAAGAGCAGAGGGAGCAGAAAGUGCACUGCCCCCAAAAGAAGCAGAUGGAAAGGAGUCUCGGAGAUACAUUUUGGAAAGUGUGAAGAAUGGGGAGUAGGCACUGAGUUAAAACCUGGGAGAAAUGUUCAAGAUAUGUGCUUGCAAGAAUGUGGAGGUGAUCAGAAUGAGGAAUAGAGCUAAAGGCCAAGAAGGCACAUGUUGCCUAAGGCAUGCCACGAAUUCACUAGGCAGCAACAGAUUUCAACUGGAGGCUCCGUGUUUCAUAGCUCAGUCCUUUUAUGCCGGUUCUUAAAAAGAUAGUUUGCGGCUAGUUUAACAGGGCACAUUUAAAAUACACCCCCACCCCCCAAGAAGCCUGGGAUUGUAGUUUAUCCCUCAUAGGGGGAGAGAUGUACUUAAACCGUUAACGUAAAAGCCACAGUCCCUUUUCUUAAAUCACCUUAACUCCUAAUGUGCCUCUGGUAUUGGCCUUUUGGGGGACUUUUGCCGGUGGAGGCCAGGGAAGGGUGGAAGGACCCGGCACCGCAGAGGUUAAAGGGAGCGGCCCGAGCCGCACCUGGCAUGAGGGGAGCCACGAGCCAAAGGACUGGGGGCGCGUGUCAGGGCUGGCUCUCUCCCUGCCGCCUCCCCGCACCCUUCGAAGUAGUCGGGCGGCAUUCCACGGGCUUUCCCCACCCCGAGUGCCGGAGGGAGGGAAGGAAGGUGGCAGGCCUGGCUUGGACCAACGGGGCCUGCCUCACCCGAUGCCUGGCACGCCCCAUCCUGCCCCAGAGACAGCUGCUUUGUCGAAAGGCGCGGAGCCCAGCGGGGGGUGAGGGCGAGGAGUCUGGCAGUCUGGCCUUGCUCAGUGGACUGAGAGCGGGGAAUGGGACCCAGCAAGUCAACGUGCCGGCUGAGAGCCAGGAUUCCUGGGCUUGUCCAGGUCUGCCCUAGCGGCAAACGAUUCAGAGGUAUUCCUCCACUAGCGCAACACAAAACCUCCUCCCAGACAUGCAUGAAGACUAUCAGACAAGUUUAAUGUCCUUAAAUACAGGACUGUAGGCGGAGAAAAUUACCAGUGAAAUCUUUGCCCCUGGCCAGCGGUUAAGCGCCCCCUGUUCGUCCUAUAAAAACCAGGAGUGUUGCUUUUUAAAAAAUGUUUUAAAUGGCCCUAGCUCCCCGUGCCUUAGCAGCAGGAAAAUGUGAAGACGUUAGCGGGUGAUAAAAGGGCCAGAUCCAACAAAGACCUCUUCCUGAUCUGACCUAUACAGUAGGGCCCCGCUUUACAGCAUUCUGCUAAUACAGCUGUUGUCAAUUGCAGAAAGGCCCCUCUCCUACCGCGCUGGUUCCGCUUUUAUGGCGGUUUUUGCUUGUCGCGUGCCAUUUUCGCGUCAUUUUCACGCAAUGCACACCAUUAUCUUCAAUGUGUUCCACUUUACAGCGGUUUUCGCUUUACAGCGGGGGUCCAGAACGUAACCCGCUGUAUGAGUGGGGCCCUACUGUAUUGUGUGGAGGGGAGUGAUUGGGUCUGCCCCCACUCCUGAUAUCCCUGAUGACCAUGCAAAUGU